rnacentral:rRNA from 1 species
CCGCGGUAAGACGUAGGGGGCGAGCGUUGUCCGGAAUUACUGGGCGUAAAGAGCACGUAGGCGGGAACUUAAGUCAGGUGUGAAAGACCGGGGCUCAACCUCGGGUAUGCACUUGAAACUGGGUUUCUUGAGGGCAGGAGAGGAAAGCAGAAUUCCUGGUGUAGCGGUGAAAUGCGUAGAAAUCAGGAGGAAUACCAGUGGCGAAGGCGGCUUUCUGGACUGACCCUGACGCUGAGGUGCGAAAGCGUGGGUAGCAAACAG